GACGAACGCUGGCGGCGUGCCUAAUACAUGCAAGUUGAGCGAUGAAGAUUGGUGCUUGCACCAAUUUGAAGAGCAGCGAACGGGUGAGUAACGCGUGGCGAAUCUGCCUUUGAGCGGGGGACAACAUUUGGAAACGAAUGCUAAUACCGCAUAACAACUUUAAACAUAAGUUUUAAGUUUGAAAGAUGCAAUUGCAUCACUCAAAGAUGAUCCCGCGUUGUAUUAGCUAGUUGGUGAGGUAAAGGCUCACCAAGGCGAUGAUACAUAGCCGACCUGAGAGGGUGAUCGGCCACAUUGGGACUGAGACACGGCCCAAACUCCUACGGGAGGCAGCAGUAGGGAAUCUUCGGCAAUGGACGAAAGUCUGACCGAGCAACGCCGCGUGAGUGAAGAAGGUUUUCGGAUCGUAAAACUCUGUUGGUAGAGAAGAACGUUGGUGAGAGUGGAAAGCUCAUCAAGUGACGGUAACUACCCAGAAAGGGACGGCUAACUACGUG
rnacentral:rRNA from 1 species